UCCUACGGGAGGCAGCAGUGGGGAAUAUUGGUCAAUGGGGAAAGCCUGAUCCAGCAAUGCCGCGUGUGUGAAGAAGGCCUUCGGGUUGUAAAGCACUUUAGGUCGGAAAGAAAAAGCUUGGGUUAAUACCUCAAGCCUUGUCGGUACCGGCAGAAUAAGCACCGGCUUAGUCUGUGUCAGCAGCCGCGGUAAUACAGAGGGUGCAAGCGUUAAUCGGAUUUACUGGGCGUAAAGCGUGCGUAGGUGGUUACGAAAGAUCGGGUGUGAAAGCCCUGGGCUCAACCUGGGAAUGCCGUUCGAUAAUUCGUGACUUGAGUUCGGUAGAGGGCGGCGGAACUCCAGGUUGUAGCGAGUGAACAUGUGAUAAGAUAUUUAUGGAACGAAGCAACCGAUCGGCCGAAAGGCAACACGCCUGGGCCUGAACUGACACUGAGCCAUGAAAGACGUGGGGAGCAAACAGGAUUAGAUACCCUGGUAGUCCACGCUGUAAACGAUGAGAACUUGAUGUCGGUUUGCCUAGCGAAUCGGUGUCGAGUAACGCGUUAGUCUCCGC
rnacentral:rRNA from 1 species